CCGAGUCUUAAUUGGGCGUUAAGUUGCAGGGUAUAGACCCGAAACCCGGUGAUCUAGCCAUGGGCAGGUUGAAGGUUGGGUAACACUAACUGGAGGACCGAACCGACUAAUGUUGAAAAAUUAGCGGAUGACCUGUGGCUGGGGGUGAAAGGCCAAUCAAACCGGGAGAUAGCUGGUUCUCCCCGAAAGCUAUUUAGGUAGCGCCUCGUGAAUUCAUCUCCGGGGGUAGAGCACUGUUUCGGCUAGGGGGCCAUCCCGGCUUACCAACCCGAUGCAAACUGCGAAUACCGGAGAAUGUUAUCACGGGAGACACACGGCGGGUGCUAACGUCCGUCGUGAAGAGGGAAACAACCCAGACCGCCAGCUAAGGUCCCAAAGUCAUGGUUAAGUGGGAAACGAUGUGGGAAGGCCCAGACAGCCAGGAUGUUGGCUUAGAAGCAGCCAUCAUUUAAAGAAAGCGUAAUAGCUCACUGGUCGAGUCGGCCUGCGCGGAAGAUGUAACGGGGCUAAACCAUGCACCGAAGCUGCGGCAGCGAACGUAUCACCCAAGACAACUUUACGGAGUUGACGAUUGACGGAGCGAAGCGACGUCAAAGCGUUCAUUAAAGUCGAGUUGGCUUAGGGAUACGUUCGUUGGGUAGGGGAGCGUUCUGUAAGCCUGUGAAGGUGUGUCGUGAGGCAUGCUGGAGGUAUCAGAAGUGCGAAUGCUGACAUAAGUAACGAUAAAGCGGGUGAAAAGCCCGCUCGCCGGAAGACCAAGGGUUCCUGUCCAACGUUAAUCGGGGCAGGGUGAGUCGACCCCUAAGGCGAGGCCGAAAGGCGUAGUCGAUGGGAAACGGGUUAAUAUUCCCGUACUUGGUGUUACUGCGAAGGGGGGACGGAGAAGGCUAUGUUGGCCGGGCGACGGUUGUCCCGGUUUAAGCGUGUAGGUGUGUGUUCCAGGUAAAUCCGGUUCACUUUAACACUGAGGCGUGACGACGAGGCACUACGGUGCUGAAGCAACAAAUGCCCUGCUUCCAGGAAAAGCCUCUAAGCAUCAGGUAACAUCAAAUCGUACCCCAAACCGACACAGGUGGUCAGGUAGAGAAUACCAAGGCGCUUGAGAGAACUCGGGUGAAGGAACUAGGCAAAAUGGUGCCGUAACUUCGGGAGAAGGCACGCUGACACGUAGGUGAAGUGAUUUACUCAUGGAGCUGAAGUCAGUCGAAGAUACCAGCUGGCUGCAACUGUUUAUUAAAAACACAGCACUGUGCAAACACGAAAGUGGACGUAUACGGUGUGACGCCUGCCCGGUGCCGGAAGGUUAAUUGAUGGGGUCAGCGCAAGCGAAGCUCCUGAUCGAAGCCCCGGUAAACGGCGGCCGUAACUAUAACGGUCCUAAGGUAGCGAAAUUCCUUGUCGGGUAAGUUCCGACCUGCACGAAUGGCGUAAUGAUGGCCAGGCUGUCUCCACCCGAGACUCAGUGAAAUUGAACUCGCUGUGAAGAUGCAGUGUACCCGCGGCAAGACGGAAAGACCCCGUGAACCUUUACUAUAGCUUGACACUGAACAUUGAGCCUUGAUGUGUAGGAUAGGUGGGAGGCUUUGAAGUGUGGACGCCAGUCUGCAUGGAGCCGACCUUGAAAUACCACCCUUUAAUGUUUGAUGUUCUAACGUGGACCCGUAAUCCGGGUUGCGGACAGUGUCUGGUGGGUAGUUUGACUGGGGCGGUCUCCUCCUAAAGAGUAACGGAGGAGCACGAAGGUUGGCUAAUCCUGGUCGGACAUCAGGAGGUUAGUGCAAUGGCAUAAGCCAGCUUGACUGCGAGCGUGACGGCGCGAGCAGGUGCGAAAGCAGGUCAUAGUGAUCCGGUGGUUCUGAAUGGAAGGGCCAUCGCUCAACGGAUAAAAGGUACUCCGGGGAUAACAGGCUGAUACCGCCCAAGAGUUCAUAUCGACGGCGGUGUUUGGCACCUCGAUGUCGGCUCAUCACAUCCUGGGGCUGAAGUAGGUCCCAAGGGUAUGGCUGUUCGCCAUUUAAAGUGGUACGCGAGCUGGGUUUAGAACGUCGUGAGACAGUUCGGUCCCUAUCUGCCGUGGGCGCUGGAGAACUGAGGGGGGCUGCUCCUAGUACGAGAGGACCGGAGUGGACGCAUCACUGGUGUUCGGGUUGUCAUGCCAAUGGCACUGCCCGGUAGCUAAAUGCGGAAGAGAUAAGUGCUGAAAGCAUCUAAGCACGAAACUUGCCCCGA
rnacentral:rRNA from 1 species